rnacentral:lncRNA from 1 species
CGCGGCGGGAGAGGGGUCCCGGGAGGAGCGAGCGCGCGUGCGUGCCGGCCCCAGCGCCAGCGUACGGCGGCUCCCCCUGCUGGGCGCAGCGGCUCAGCGCAGGCGGGAGCGCCGCGUCGUGAACGGUCGACGGGGAGGAGCCGCGUCCCCCUCGCCGUCCCCGAGCGCCGCGGCCAGGUGGGACUGCCCCUCGAGCAAACGGCCGGGCCGUCAGCCCCGCCCCGGGAGAAGCAGCAGGGGCGAGGAGCGACGUGUGUACCAAGAGAAAAAAACAUUCCUGACAGGGAAUGUGUUGGAAAGCAGGGAGCGUCUGUGUGUUUAUUUCCGUUUGGGUCCGUUAGAGCUUCACAGCCUCUACGCACCGAAAGGAAGGCUGGGAAUUUCCCUUUAAGGGUGAAAGCUUUUUGUGGUGAAUGCAGGAGGUGGGAAUUCCGAGCAUGCCAGACGCACAGUGAGACACGCAGGCGGCCAACGGUCAACACAUGAGAGCCUCUGUCAGAAGAACGACACGGUGUGCCUGGAUAAAGGCUUUUACUGCUAUUCCUAUCCUCAUAUUUUGAUUCUGCCCCCCAUUGGAUGGAAGAGGCCCCACAUCACGGUCAAAUGAGCUGCAGGUGGAAGAGGGAGUAGGCAAGCAGCAGCUGCCUCCCAUAAAGAAGGUGAGCUGAAAGAGAGGGUAGUUUCUUGCUGGGCUGGAGGUAGCAGCAGCAAGGACAUUAAUUUUGAGGGGCUU